rnacentral:rRNA from 1 species
UUGAAAGGGAAACGAUUGAAGUCAGUCGUACCUGCGGGUAAUCAGCCUUUUGAGUGCGGACUUGUGGGCGUGCGUGAGCUUCGGUCUCGCUGUUUGCAACGUUUGUGCUUUUUGGGUGUACUUUUUCGUAUGGUAGGCCAACAUCAGUUUCGAACACCAUAAAAUGACCGGCGGAAUGUAGCUUCGAUCUCGUAUUGAAGUGUUAUAGCCUCUGGUAGAUGUGGUGAUUGGGACUGAGGAUUGCAACGAAUACCCUUCGGGCUAUCCGUCUGACCUCUGAAGGUUACUUAGGUGCCGAAAGCUUGCUUACGGUUAUUUAAGUUGACAGUCAAAAGGCUAGAACGUGAUUAUAUUCGUUAAGGAUGUUGACGUA